UGAGGUCAAGGGGUUGUUUUGUUUGUUUUUUUUUUAACAACAUCAGCUGUUUCAAUAUACAGUCACCAGGAUACCUGCUUCCAGCUCUGCUGGGAGGAGAGACAGACUCUACAAAACAAAGCAGGAGGCUGAACCGUGGAAGAGGGGAGAUGGGCCCAGCGCCUCUCGGCAAACAGGUGGGCUGACCGGGAGCCACCCCUCCUCCCGGGGCCCCUGCAUCUGGAGCCCCCGAGGCCGGCCCUGCAGCACCGCGGAGCAGACCUGGGGGGUCUUCCCGACUCAGAGAUCAGACCCACGUCUCCUGGCUCUCCUGCAUUGGCAGGUAGGUUCUUUACCAGCUGAGCCACCAGGGAAGCUGAAGGAUCAUAAACUUUUCCUAAAAUGACAAAGAAAAAAAAAAAAACCUUGCAGAUACAAGAACUGGACAAGAGGAGAGAACUUUCAGAUACAAAUGAGACAGUUCCCAGGGUGUACGUGUGUCCGUGCACCUGUGGGGGGUGGUGACCACCCACGCGGAGUCAUGGGAACAGCGGAAUCAAAGAGAGCCACGAAAUGGGAAAAUAUUGGCACUUCUGGUCAUGUGAAAUCUAAAAAAAAAAUUCUUGACUUUGAACAAAAGAGAAAAUUACAUAAUGGUUAUUAUUAGAUUGAUGGCUGUUCCCACACCCAAUUAGUACAUGUUGAACACACAUUUAAAAAGCAAUCAGCAGGAUCCCCAUGAUACUGUGUCUGGCUCUGCCCAGGUGACAAAGUUGAGCCUGGGGGCCCGCAGCCCACGCCCUUCCCCGUCCUGACCCACUGCUCCGCAGGGACCACCUUCAGAGCCCCCACAGCAGAGGAGGACUGCCCCACCCGGCUGCCCUGUCCUCCCUCCACCACUCGUCCCCCCACCAGAUCAGCCCCUGCACUCCCCCCAGGGGCCUUCAGCGCUCCUGUGUCCUCCUCACCGCCCCGUGCUCGUGGGGCUCCGGCCACGCUCAGCUCCGCCCCCACUGCUGGCCCCGCCCCUGCCUGUGACCUUGGGUAGAUCAUCUCAAGGACAACACGGGACCCACUCAGCGCUCCAGCUUGAGUCAGCAGAAUCUGGAGGCAAACUGAGCAGCUACUGUGAAGUGUGAAAAAUUACCCUCAAUGAAAGCAAGCAAACUAUUUGCUUAUGGGAUCAGCGCGUGGAAAUGAGGCCUCGGGGCUGGCAGGCCGGCCGGGAGCGGUCACCUUCCCGGAGUCGAGUCGCGGCUCCCUGACUCCAGCGGCAGGCGGGAUGUCCUGCUUCCCUCAGGGCCAGCACCGUAUCAUUCACUCGGUACUGCCAGCACCAUUCACCGUGCCAACGACAACAGCUCCCGGGGGCGGGCAGGGCAAGAGGGGGAGGGAAACACAUCCAUCGUAUGUAUUCAUUCACCGGGCAAUUGCUGAUUCCCACCCCACUCACUGGGCUGCCCCCACAUGGGGCCUUAAAUCCGGACAGGCUGAGAACAGAAGCAGGCCUCUGGGGGCCAUGUUUGCUGUGCUGAGUGGACGCUCAGGCGCCAGCCGGACCUGCUCUAGAUGACCUCAGCGCAGAGUCCCCGGUCCUCCUUGGGUCAGUGGUCCUCCCACUGGCUACGUGGCAGGAUCCCCCAAGGGCUGUGACUGACAUCACCACUGACUGAUGUCAGGACGGGCAGGUGGAGCCUGGGUGUCCACCUCCUUCCCACACGCAUGGGGCUUCAGGAGCAGCCACAGCUGAGAGCCGUCCUGCUGGCCAGAGUGCUGGUUCAGCCUUAGAGGAGGCUGGAGGGGGCUUCAUCAUUAGAGCACGUGCCUGGAUGGGGAGAGGAAGGCCUUACACACACAGAGGCUUCCUCUGACUGGCAUGGGGGCUGCGCGGACAUGCAGAUGUCCCUUCAGUAGAGUCAGUGCUGGAAGAGGGAGGGGUGAGUUGGUAGAAGGAAGGAUGGACAGAUGACAGAUGAGUGGAUGGACAGGUGAGUGGACAGAAGAUGGAUGAGUGGAUGGGUAGGUGGAUGGAUGAGUGAAUGGAUGGAUGAGUGGGUGGAUAGAAGAUGGACGAGUGGAUGGAUGGGUUGAUGAAUGAAUGAGUGGAUGGAUGGGAGGAUGGAUGGAGAGAUGAUGGAUGAGUGGAUGGAUAAGUGGAUGUGUGGGUGGAGGGAUGGAUGGGUGGAUAGAUGGAUGGAUGAUUGGAUGGAUGAAGAGAUGAUGGAUAAUGGAUGGAUGGGUUGAUGAAUGGAUGAGUGGAUGGAUGGGAGGAUGGACGGGUGUAUGGGUGAAUUGGUGGAUGGAUGGAUAGAUGAUGGAUGAGUGGAUGGACAAGUGGAUGUGUGGGUGGACUGAUGGAUGGAUGAGUGGGAGGAUGGGUGGACAGGUGGAUGGUUGGGUGAAUGGCUGGCUGGAUG
ensembl:lncRNA